rnacentral:rRNA from 1 species
AUUGAACGCUGGCGGCAUGCUUUACACAUGCAAGUCGAACGGCAGCGCGGGCUUCGGCUUGGCGGCGAGUGGCGAACGGGUGAGUAAUACAUCGGAACGUGCCCAGCUGGGGGGGAUAGCUCGGCGAAAGACGGAUUAAUACUGCAUACGAGCUGAGGGUGAAAGCGGGGGAGCUUCGGACCUUGCGCUAUUGGAGCGGUCGAUGGGAGAUUAGCUAGUUGGUGGGGUAAAGGCCUACCAAGGCGACGAUCUGUAGCUGGUCUGAGAGGACGACCAGCCACACUGGGACUGAGACACGGCCCAGACUCCUACGGGAGGCAGCAGUGGGGAAUUUUGGACAAUGGGCGAAAGCCUGAUCCAGCAAUGCCGCGUGUGUGAUGAAGGCCUUCGGGUUGUAAAGCACUUUUGGCGGGAACGAAAAGGACUGGGCCAAUACCACGGUUCGAUGACGGUACCCGCAGAAUAAGCACCGGCUAACUACGUG